rnacentral:lncRNA from 1 species
AUCCAAGAUGAAGGCGAAGAUAUCCAGUGCGAGUGCCAGUUGUGGCAGUGCUAGGCAUUCUUGUUUUGGCUGCCGCCGCAAGAAGGCGAAGGUGAUGGUGGUUGGUGGCUUGCUGGAGCUCCCCUUCUCCAACACUCCGAGGCCCCUCGCCGAGGGUAAGCUCAAGCAGCUGGCCAAGUGUUGUGAUCUCAAUGUUGAUGUUAUCCUUGCCCAUGCUAUAGUUCAAGCUUCCGGUUCCGGUGGUGCCACUCGAUCCUCUCCAGCUGACGAAUCUUGUGCCUCCUUUACGGGUGAUGGCAAUAUUUCAGAUGUGUAGGCCUAGUGCGUCUCCAAUUUCUCUUCAAAUGUUGUUUCCUUUCCUAGCGGCCAUGUUAUCUCAAAUAGUUGCAUCUCCCUGGUGUUUGGUGUGUAACUCGCCCUGUGCGGGCUACCUGCAAGUUUAUUUCGAGUCGUCUUGCAUUAGCUUGUUAUCUGUACUUGGUCAGGGUUCAGUUUGUACUGGGCUUGUUGGUUAUGCUUUGAUCUAUCAAUUUAUGAA